GCGGUAUUUCUCCUGGGAGAGAACACAGCCUUCCAAGCUGUCGGAGACGGUUCGAAUCCGUCAUACCGCUCCA
rnacentral:tRNA from 1 species